rnacentral:rRNA from 1 species
GACGUAGGGCGCGAGCGUUGUCCGGAUUUAUUGGGCGUAAAGAGCUCGUAGGCGGCUUGUCGCGUCGUCCGUGAAAACCCAUGGCUCAACUGUGGGCUUGCGGUCGAUACGGGCAGGCUGGAGUUCGGUAGGGGAGACUGGAAUUCCUGGGUGUAGCGGUGAAAUGCGCAGAUAUCAGGAGGAACACCGGUGGCGAAGGCGGGUCUCUGGGCCGAUACUGACGCUGAGGAGCGAAAGCGUGGGGAGCGAACAGG